GGGGAAUAUUGCACAAUGGGGGAAACCCUGAUGCAGCGACGCCGCGUGGAGGAAGAAGGUCUUCGGAUUGUAAACUCCUGUUGUUGAGGAAGAUAAUGACGGUACUCAACAAGGAAGUGACGGCUAACUACGUGCCAGCAGCCGCGGUAAAACGUAGGUCACAAGCGUUGUCCGGAAUUACUGGGUGUAAAGGGAGCGCAGGCGGGAAGACAAGUUGGAAGUGAAAUCUAUGGGCUCAACCCAUAAACUGCUUUCAAAACUGUUUUUCUUGAGUAGUGCAGAGGUAGGCGGAAUUCCCGGUGUAGCGGUGGAAUGCGUAGAUAUCGGGAGGAACACCAGUGGCGAAGGCGGCCUACUGGGCACCAACUGACGCUGAGGCUCGAAAGUGUGGGUAGCAAACAGGAUUAGAUACCCUGGUAGUCCACACCGUAAACGAUGAUUACUAGGUGUUGGAGGAUUGACCCCUUCAGUGCCGCAGUUAACACAAUAAGUAAUCCACCUGGGGAGUACGACCGCAAGGUUGAAACUCAAAGGAAUUGACGGGGGCCCGCACAAGCAGUGGAGUAUGUGGUUUAAUUCGACGCAACGCGAAGAACCUUACCAAGUCUUGACAUCCUGCGACGAUGCUGGAAACAGCAUUUUCCUUCGGGACGCAGAGACAGGUGGUGCAUGGUUGUCGUCAGCUCGUGUCGUGAGAUGUUGGGUUAAGUCCCGCAACGAGCGCAACCCUUACUGUCAGUUACUACGCAAGAGGACUCUGGCAGGACUGCCGUUGACAAAACGGAGGAAGGUGGGGAUGACGUCAAAUCAUCAUGCCCUUUAUGACUUGGGCUACACACGUACUACAAUGGCGUUAAACAAAGAGAAGCAAGACCGCGAGGUGGAGCAAAACUCAGAAACAACGUCCCAGUUCGGACUGCAGGCUGCAACUCGCCUGCACGAAGUCGGAAUUGCUAGUAAUCGUGGAUCAGCAUGCCACGGUGAAUACGUUCCCG
rnacentral:rRNA from 1 species